AGCGAACGCUGGCGGCAGGCUUAACACAUGCAAGUCGAACGGGCAUCUUCGGAUGUCAGUGGCAGACGGGUGCGUAACACGUGGGAACGUACCCUUCGGUUCGGAAUAACUCAGAGAAACUUGAGCUAAUACCGGAUACGCCCUUUUGGGGAAAGGUUUACUGCCGAAGGAUCGGCCCGCGUCUGAUUAGCUUGUUGGUGGGGUAACGGCCUACCAAGGCGACGAUCAGUAGCUGGUCUGAGAGGAUGAUCAGCCACACUGGGACUGAGACACGGCCCAGACUCCUACGGGAGGCAGCAGUGGGGAAUAUUGGACAAUGGGCGCAAGCCUGAGCCAGCCAUGCCGCGUGAGUGAUGAAGGCCUUAGGGUUGUAAAGCUCUUUUGUCCGGGACGAUAAUGACGGUACCGGAAGAAUAAGCCCCGGCUAACUUCGUG
rnacentral:rRNA from 1 species